rnacentral:misc_RNA from 1 species
AAACUGCGAUAAGUAGUGUGAAUUGCAUUUAGUGAAUCAUCGAAUCUUCGAACGCACCCUGCACUCACUGGUAUUCCGGUGAGUACGCCUGUUUCAGUAUCAUUGAAAACACACAAUCAAAACAUUUUCUUUGGUUUGAUUGGCUUUGGGUCUAUCAAAAAGUUUGGCUUGUUUCUUACAAGCCAAGCGGCCUGAAAUAUAUUGUCUGGCUAAUUGCAUCGUUGAUGAUCGCUAUUAGACUUUGGCUUUUUUAAAUGAACUGGAGGUUGAUUAACCAGUUUUAGCUUUAGUCAAAUGGUCAUUGUAAAAAAAAUCUCGAUCUUGGCUAGGUGUUUAUAGCCGAAAAUUUUUUUUUGGCUAUAACCGAAACCAAUAUAAUCACAUUUAGUUAUCGAUCUGAAAUCAGGUGGGACUACCCGCUGAACUUAAGC